GUCAAUCGAGUGCACCUGAGCUCAGCAUUAUCCCCUCCCUUUUCAGGUGAUGUCCAUUCCUCUCACACUCGCCUAACAGGAGUCAACCAGGGCGGAAGCCGAGCUGCUCCACAGUGAACAGGCCUUCAGUCUCCACCCUGCACUUCCUGUCCAUGCGGAGGCUGUGAAAUAUCCUGCUCUGAGCCUCAGGACCAGCAUUUUCUGUGAUAUGAAAAACUGCUCGUAGGCAGGUUUCCUUGGGAAGAUUGAAGAAGGUCUUUCUGUUCACUGUUUGGUCAUGGCAAGCUCAGAAGUGAGAAAUGAUUUCACAAAGUUUCAUAAUAAACACUAAAAAUAUAAAAUUGUGACAUAUACAACAUUUUUAAAAAUAAAAUUUAUAAGAAACUAGGCAUAAAGUGGAGUUCGUUUAAAAAGCUGGUCUGAGAGAGAUAAAGUUUUAUUCCUUUUUAGGAUCAUUUCUUCUGGUGUAACUAUAUUUGUAUAUAACUUUAGGUAUCCUUGUGUAACAAGUUUUCUCAAAAUUUGAGGUAAGGGUCAUAAACAUUAAUAUACUUUAUGUAUUUUUCUGGUUAAAAAUGCUUUUGGGGAUCAAUUUUCCUUCAUUAGGUGUUUGGGUUGUAACUGUAGACAUUGCUAAUGGAUGAGGGAAGUCUCUGAAUGAUUCUUAGGUGGAGAGUGUGUGUGUGUGUAUAUAUAUAUAUAUAUAUAUUCUAAUAUGUAUAUAUUUUCUAAUAAAUUGUAACUAUAAGUGCUUUGAGAAGUGCCAUAGAUGAACAGCUGAUGAAAGUUACUUCACAAAGGAAUUUAAUAUACCUUUUAAGAUAUUUCUGCUGUUUUUUGUUUUGCUUUGUUUUUCAAACCUAGAUUAAAUGUAGAUCAAGAAACUGGCAAAGGAAAGAAAUUUUACUCCUUGGGUUUGCCAGGGUCCCUGGUGGAUCCAGGGAAUUCGAAGGGGAGAUGGUGUCAGCGAGGAGAGAUUUAUUUAUUUAGAAGUAUAAAGAGAGAUUAGGAAAGAAUAGUGUGGUAGGAAAAUUAGUGGAGAAAAGAGGCUGAAUAACUUGGUUUACAUAGAGAACCAAUAAAACUCUGAGACAAGGGGUUUGCAGCGUCUCCGUAGGCCACCAGCACCUGCUUGAAUAGCGGAGGGUGCCCCGCCUUGGGCUCCCUCUCGCAUGGGUCUUAGAAGCCAGGGCAAAUAAGUAGACACAGUGAGCCUCCAUGCUCCAGAUGGGAA
ensembl:lncRNA